rnacentral:rRNA from 1 species
AAGUCGUAACAAGGUCUCCGUUGGUGAACCAGCGGAGGGAUCAUUACCGAGUACUAUAACUCAUAACCCUUUGUGAACCUUCAUACCUGUUGCUUCGGCGGCGCGCCUCUCGGGGCGUGCCCGCCGGCAUUAUCAGAAUCUCUGUUCGAACCCGACGAUACUUCUGAGUGUUCUAAGCGAACUGUUAAAACUUUCAACAACGGAUCUCUUGGCUCCAGCAUCGAUGAAGAACGCAGCGAAACGCGAUAUGUAAUGUGAAUUGCAGAAUUCAGUGAAUCAUCGAAUCUUUGAACGCACAUGGCGCCUUCCAGUAUCCUGGGAGGCAUGCCUGUCCGAGCGUCGUUUCAACCCUCGAGCCCCCGUGGCCCGGCGUUGGGGACCUGCCCAGGCAGUCCCCGAAAACCAGUGGCGGACCCGACGGGCCCUUCCUUUGCGUAGUAACAUCUGCCUCGCAUCGGGAGCCCCCGGGCUAUCCGGCCUCUAAACCCCCCUCAAGCCCGCUCCGGCGGCACCAAGGUUGACCUCGGAUCAGGUAGGAAUACCCGCUGAACUUAA